rnacentral:rRNA from 1 species
GACGAACGCUGGCGGCGUGCUUAACACAUGCAAGUCGACGACGCUACUGAGUAGCAAUAUUUAGUAGUGGAGUGGCGCAAGGGUGAGUAAUGUAUACGUAACCAACCCAUCGGAGACGGAUAACAUUUCGAAAGGGAUGCUAAAACGGCAUGAAGCCACGAUUUCGCAUGAGAUUGUGGUUAAAGAACCGGUAACAGGUUGCCGAUGGCUGGGCGUAUAUCCGAUUAGCUAGUUGGUAGUGUAAUGGACUACCAAGGCGACGAUCGGUAGCUGGUCUGAGAGGAUGAUCAGCCACACUGGCACUGAGACACGGGCCAGACUCCUACGGGAGGCAGCAGUGGGGAAUAUUGGGCAAUGCCCGCAAGGAUGACCCAGCAACGCCGCGUGGAGGAUGAAGGCCGUAAGGUUGUAAACUCUGACAAGCAGGGAAGAACGGCUAUGGUAAAAGGCCAUAGAAUGACGGUACCUGCCUGAAGCCCCGGCUAACUACGUG